GACGAACGCUGGCGGCGUGCCUAAUACAUGCAAGUAGAACGCUGAAGGAGGAGCUUGCUCUUCUGGAUGAGUUGCGAACGGGUGAGUAACGCGUAGGUAACCUGCCUGGUAGCGGGGGAUAACUAUUGGAAACGAUAGCUAAUACCGCAUAAGAGUAGAUGUUGCAUGACAUUUGCUUAAAAGUUGCAAUUGCAUCACUACCAGAUGGACCUGCGUUGUAUUAGCUAGUUGGUGGGGUAACGGCUCACCAAGGCGACGAUACAUAGCCGACCUGAGAGGGUGGUCGGCCACCCUGGGACGGAGACACGGCCCAGACGCCUUCGGGAGGCAGCAGUAGGGAAUCUUCGGCAAUGGACGGAAGUCUGACCGAGCAACGCCGCGUGAGUGAAGAAGGUUGUCGGAUCGGAAAGCUCUGUUGUAAGAGAAGAACGAGUGUGAGAGUGGAAAGUUCACACUGUGACGGUAUCUUAUCAGAAAGGGACGGCUAACUACGUG
rnacentral:rRNA from 1 species